CGAAGGACGGAAGGUAGGGAGUGACGUCAAGUCAGCAUGGCCCUUACGCCCGGGGCGACACACGUGUUACAAUGGGUGGUACAAAGGGCAGCUACCUGGCGACAGGAUGCUAAUCUCGAAAACCACUCUCAGUUCGGAUCGGAGUCUGCAACUCGACUCCGUGAAGCUGGAUUCGCUAGUAAUCGCGCAUCAGCCAUGGCGCGGUGAAUACGUUCCCGGGCCUU
rnacentral:rRNA from 1 species